rnacentral:rRNA from 1 species
AGAGUUUGAUCAUGGCUCAGGAUGAACGCUGGCGGCGUGCUUAACACAUGCAAGUCGAACGAGAGAAGAUCGGUGCUUGCACUGAUCCGAUCGAGUGGCGGACGGGUGAGUAACGCGUGGGUAACCUGCCUCAUACAGGGGAAUAACAGUUGGAAACGGCUGCUAAAACCGCAUAAGCGCACAGUAUCGCAUGAUACAGUGUGAAAAACUCCGGUGGUAUGAGAUGGACCCGCGUCUGAUUAGCUAGUUGGUGAGGUAACGGCCCACCAAGGCAACGAUCAGUAGCCGGCCUGAGAGGGUGAACGGCCACAUUGGGACUGAGACACGGCCCAAACUCCUACGGGAGGCAGCAGUGGGGAAUAUUGCACAAUGGGGGAAACCCUGAUGCAGCGACGCCGCGUGAGUGAUGAAGUAUUUCGGUAUGUAAAGCUCUAUCAGCAGGGAAGAUAAUGACGGUACCUGACUAAGAAGCACCGGCUAAAUACGUGCCAGCAGCCGCGGUAAUACGUAUGGUGCA